rnacentral:lncRNA from 1 species
NNNGUUUAAUAUUGCUUUGUGUCUGUGUCUUUGCUAAAACAAGGUUACUAAGUGUUAAGAUUCUAUCAUGUGUAAUUUAUAUACAAAGAGUAGAAAAAUUUUCAGUUGGGUUUCAAUUAUAGUAUUAUAGUAUCAUAAAAAACAUGAAAGUCUUUCAUCUUAUUAAAGUGGAGUAAUUUGUCUAAAUCAGAAAUUUUAUAAGAGUUGUUUCAAAAUGUGAAUUUAUAAAAAGGGUUAACGGUUUAAAAAGAGAUAGAAAAAGAUUCAAGAUGUGGAAAUAUAUUUUAAUAUAAAAGGUUAAAGGAAAAAAAUGUUUCUAGAUGAGAUAAUCUCUGUGUGGUAAAGUAAAAAGUUGUAAAAUGCCAUUUAAAAAGAUUUUGAGGAAACUAGACUUACUUUAAAAGCUUGAGAAAGGAAGAAAGAAAAAAAAGGUAUUUGUACAUGGCAGAUUGAGACAAAGUUUCUCAAUGGAGUUAAAAAAAAAAAAAAGCCUUUGGUUGAAGGGCAGCCAUGUAAACUAACAUUAAAGCGAUUUAAACAAAAUCUAAGCCUCAUUUAAAAGUGAAGUUGUAGGUGGUGAAAAAGUACAUUUAAAAGUACAGUAUAGAUGAUAAUUAAAAGGUUAAAUUGAAGGUGGUUGAGAUACCUUCAUGGCGGAAAAAAGAUUGCUUUAUUGCAUCAUUCGAAGCCUAGUUAAUCUUAAAGGCAUUACUUAAAAAAAAUGGGAAGAUAAUAGGAUAAAAGAUAUUUAGAUAAAGAAGAUUAAAAAUUUAAAGUGAAAAACUUUAAAAACAGAAAUACAGAAAGGUAAAAAAAAGAGAGAAGAUGUAGAAAGAUAAAAAAGAUAUAGGAAGAUUAAAAAGAUGUAGAAAGGCAAGAAUUUUAAACCCACAAAAUAGGAAACAAAAAAACUAAGGAAAAAAAGCAACUAAGGGUGAAUGUACAAACCUUAGGGGGAAAAAAAAACUGGAAGAUAGAAAUAAGAUAAAAAAUGGUUGAAAAUGUCAAGUAAGGUAUUUCAGAUAAAAAAAUGCAAAAAGCUAGACAACUAUUAGAUACAGACAUAUACUUAUUAAAGCAAAAAGAGGGAAUUUGAAAGGGGUAUAUAUCCCCCAAAGAUAAACUUAAAAUAACGCUUUUUACUCUAAACUUUUUAAAUUUGGAUUCUUCAGGACUUAGUGCUGCGGAAAGGCAUAUGUAUCCAAAAAAUGUACAUAAGCCUAAAGUACUUUGGAAAGAUAUUCUAACAGGACAAUGGAAAGGUCCUGACCCAGUGAUUGUCUGGAGUCGGGGGUCUGUUUGUGUUUUUCCACAGGGAGAACAGCAGCCCAUUUGGAUUCCAGAGAGANGCUC